CCUACGGGUGGCAGCAGUGAGGAAUAUUGGUCAAUGGACGAGAGUCUGAACCAGCCAAGUCGCGUGAAGGAAGACUGCCCUAUGGGUUGUAAACUUCUUUUAUAUGGGAAUAAAAUGUUCCACGUGUGGGCUUUUGUGUGUACCCUAUGAAAAAGCAUCGGCUAACUCCGUGCCAGCAGCCGCGGGAAUACGGAGGAUGCGAGCGUUAUCCGGAUUGAUUGGGUUUAAAGGGAGCGUAGGGGGAUUGGUAAGUCAGUUGUUAAAGUUUGCGGCUCAACCGUAGAAGUGCAGUUGAAACUGGGAUUCUUGAGUACAGUAGAGGUGGGCGGAAUUCGUGGUGUAGCGGUGAAAUGCAUAGAUAUCACGAAGAACUCCGAGUGCGAAGGCAGCUCACCGGACUGCAACUGACGCUGAGGCACGAAAGUGUGGGUAUCAAACAGGAUGAGAUACCCGUGUAGUC
rnacentral:rRNA from 1 species